rnacentral:rRNA from 1 species
UACGGAGGGAGCAAGCGUUGUUCGGAUUUACUGGGCGUAAAGGGCGCGUAGGCGGCGUGACAAGUCACUUGUGAAAUCUCCGGGCUUAACUCGGAACGGUCAAGUGAUACUGUCGUGCUAGAGUACAGAAGGGGCAACUGGAAUUCUCGGUGUAGCGGUGAAAUGCGUAGAUAUCGAGAGGAACACCUGCGGCGAAGGCGGGUUGCUGGGCUGAUACUGACGCUGAGGCGCGAAAGCCAGGGGAGCGAACGGG